AUCACCGCAUUGUACAUGUGAGGUUGGCAAAGGUCAGUCGGCAACUUCUAUUCCUCUCCUCCACAGUCCAGCGCCACUAGCCCUCCACCGAGCCGUCGCCGUGCCCUAGCGCCCUCGCCUCGACCUCCGCUUCGAUAUGGAGCACCGGCGCCGGGAUGAGGCAACCCUGCCAUGCCCAUCUCUAUCUCCCCUUCUCUCUCUCCAACCCAAAUCAGGCGGCGGCAAACCCUAGCCGUGCGGCCAGAUUGAGGCCGACGAUGAUGGCCGCAGCCUGUGGACGAUGACAACCGCUGCCAUGGCUACAAAGAUGGUCAAAAGCCCCAGGCGAAUUCCAUCUCUUCUCUAAUUUGGUUUAAUUUUGUUUCUGUUUUUCCAAGUCUUAGGCCCCUUUGUUUUUAGCCAAUAAAUCGCAGAGGAGGAAGAGUUUGGAGUGGAUGUCCGUUUCUCUGAAGCCAAUGCCUUUCAGAGGCAGACGAGUUUUGAUCGAGUGGAUGGUGGGUAUGGAGUAUGGACCUCAGAGGUGAAGUAGAACAGAGAGGGAUUCGAGAUUGAUGGAACAGGAGCACAAAGCGGCUGCAUUACAGGUCGGCCUCCUGUUUUAUCUGUGUUGCGUCGCGGUUGGUGUCAUGCUCCGCAAGGAUCUACUGAUUGUGAGGUGUCAUCGACUGCAUAGUAGAGGCACGCCUCUGGCUGUCCUGGAAUAGGCGGCGGGCCUGGACGGCAGGCUGUCACAAGGAGCUCGACAGGUCUGACAUUGCAGGCAAGAGAUUGAGGAGAUAGAGCCUCUAUGAAAUUACUCAUGCUCUUAUGUAAGAAAAAGGCUACAGAGCGGCUGAGCGAGGCCCUGCCAUGGACUGCUCGGUUGAUGAGCAUUUCGUUGAAUAUUCUUCAUAGGUUGAUCUUGAGAGGUGAACGCAACAAGUAACAAAUUUGUCUCUACUAUAUACAUCUUAUCAAUAUCCAUCCUCAUGUCGCUAUGAUGAUUGUGGGAGGCGAAAGCACUAAGUAAAAGAUCUGUCUCCACUAUAGACAUGUUAGCAAGGUUGCUACCGCAUGACUUGAGCUGAUAAUAAUGGUUCAGAAAUGUAGAGCGUCAAAGAAGUGGUCUGGGUCUGGCACAAGAAAGAAAGGUGGAAAGUAACUAGACAGAGUGUGCGAAGUAUGGACUAUGCAUAAAAGAUUGCUACAUCAUGAAGUGGUUUAAUACCUACGUUGGUUAGUCCAAUGCUAAUUCUUCAUUUCUUUUUUCCUUUUCUUCUUUGAAAAAUAUUAUGAUUAUUCGAUGUUGCUACAUCGAGAUAACUACUUAUGCCCCAGACAAAUCUUUAACGUAGUUUUCUUUCAAAAAAAUUGCUCAAUACAUAUCUGUAGUUGCGACCCUAGAAACAUGAAAAGAUGCUUAAAGGGGAAAGUUUUUGAUUUGCCGUAGUUCUAUCACAAGAUUGUUUGUUCUUUGUACUAUUUUUAUGUGAUUUCUCACAAGGAAAGAACUACAUCUAAUAAGAAAAUGUAUCUAAAUUAAUUAAUGGGGAUCCAGAAGUUGAGUGCUUCUUAUUUUGCGGUUUAUAGAUAAUAACUAUUCUUUGCAACAGUACAUGAUCGUUUUUGCAAGAAAAAAGUUGUACAUGAUAGUCAAACUUUUUUUCUUCUGAAGUUACUUUUAGAGGCCGGUACUAAUCCGAAAGUACAACACACACGAUAGUUAAGCGCAGGAAAACAAAGUGAAUUAUCUGAAGUUAUUCUUAGAGGCCAGUUCUCCAAAGUACAUUACGCCCGAUGGCUUGCAUACAAUUAUCAUAGGUAUUUCCUGCGCAAUUCGCUGAGUAGAUGCUCUAUUUUUAAUUUUCAUGAUCUGUUCAGGUACUUGCUUUUGCUAAGAUUAGUGUCCUGCAUACUGUUGUCAUAGAUAUUUUCGUGUAUAAGGAGCUUUGCACAUGGUUAAUUUUCUGAGGUCAUAAUGUGCUCAGGUAAAUUUUAUGGGGAAAGGGGUAUUUAGAAGCCUGGCCCUUGAGUUGGUUUUUUGAAUGCCUCAUGGAUGUUAAAUUGAUUUUAACAUAAAAAUUAAGUAGAAGUCUAAAACCAAUGCUCAGCUGUACAUGAUAUAUGUUCAGUCUUAUUUCUAUAUGAUUCCUCUUUUUAUUUUUCUAAUAAUAGAGGAAUGUGAUUCAUGCAAUGGUGUACAUGUUAAAAGGGGUUCUCAUGUUCCUCUUAAAGGUAACUUCUGAAAGUCAAAUAAAGCAAUUGAGGUGGAAUGUAGUGAAAAUAUUAUGUGGCGUGGCAAUACAGGAGCUCAUAAGCUAAUAGUGGAAAUGGACUGCAUGGAGCGCAAUGUUGAUUAUGCUUACUAAAUUUUCCAUUCCUUUUAUUGGUAAAGACUGGAUAGUACAUUUGCUGGGCAGUUAGGACGUAGAUUAGCAUGCCCACUUUCAGUCCUUUUCCUGUUUAUCAUUUACUCUUUGUUUUGCAUAUUAUUUUUGGUGAUAUCAUAUUGUCACACAUUUGAGGUACAUAAUAGUGCAUUCUCCUCCUUUUUCAAUCACUAGAAAUCUCUGAAUACAAUUAGUCUUGAACUAUUGCUUCGUCUUUGCUGCACAACUUUCCAUUUUCUCUUCUAGACGGGGAGCAUGAACAAGAAAGUUGGUGGUGGUGGGGAUGAAAAUUGCUCCUAGGCUGGAAGGUCGAUGGAUAUGUUCUGCCUGCUAGAGAUUUGAGAAAGUAUUGAGGGUGGCAACAAAAUAACACCAGUUCUUGAUUGUUUUUGUUUGCCACUGUUGCCCAUCAAACUCAUAUUGCCUCUUGUGCAUAUUGUCCCACACGAUUGUAGGAGCAAGGUUGGACUACCAUCGACCUCUAAUGUUUUGGUGUUUCGAUGAUUGUAGUUAGUGACUUGGCCACAAGUGAAUACCAAACUAAAAUGCGUUUUCAUACAUUGUAUCUAGGAAAAUUUGGGUCGCUUUUUUCUGAACAGAAUACAUGCCGACAAAAAAACAACCAUGCCGCAUAAAUUAAACGUUGGUACCGGAGGAUGGCGCCGCAGAGCGCGCUAGGUCCAUCUAGUAUGAUAGUUAACUCUCAUACCUAAAACUUGCUUAAAACAGAUUAAUCCCCAUUUCAGAUUGACAAAUAAUUUAGUCUCAUUUUCUUGAAAUAAAAAUGUACCAUCAACAUACUAGAAGCUAAUGCCCCAUGGGUACAAAUUAUUUUUAUUCCUGCAAAAAAAAACAGAACAUAAACCCGCAAUCAGAAAUCCAAUAAAAGACAUGGAACACCUAGUCGGUGGACUUUUAAGGCUGGAUGUGCGCGGGACACGAUGCCAUUGAUGGCGGCGCAGAAGCCCAGUCGCCGUCCGCCAGUGCGCGUGUAGAAGAGGUAGCCGCGACAUUGAUGGUGAAGGUUGCGGUGCAGACGCGGAAGCGAUGCGCUCGAUACAGCCCUAUGGCUCGUUGCCAGGCGGGCCCGGUGAAAAAGCGAGCGGUCACUUGGGGCGUCCGCGCAGCGUCCGCCGCAAUGCAUCAUAGGUGCAAAUAUGCACCGCGUUUGCGUCUCCGCGGGCGGCCCGGACUCGGGCCAGUCGCUCAGCGUCCGUUUACAUCGUUCCGUUGAAGAUACCCUAACUUGGCAAGCAAGACUCAGAAAUUGUGGUGCACAUCCUAUUCAAGUGCCGCUACGCCAAGCAGAUAUGGAAGAUGGUCAGGGAUUGGUUGGGGCUGGAGGAACUCAUGGUUAAAAUUGACAUCUCUUUGUGUGGAGUGCAGUUGGACCUUCAGGGAACGAACGCUAAUAAUACUUAUCUUCCUACUCAUGCUCGUCUCUUGGGAGCUUUGGUACGAGCAGAGUGAUAGAGUUUAUAGAAUUCUUUUUACAGAAAAUCAGCAGGGAAAGCCCCUGAAACGAUUGUUUAAAAAAAUUUAAGAACACAAAUCGUUCUCUAUGGGGACUUAAAUUAGAUGGCGAGUUGUGCAUUCACUUCCCUAACUAAAUUAGCUAGAC